ensembl:lncRNA
AUGUAAAACCUGCAUGACAGUAGCUCUCGAGGACCCGAGUUGGACACCCCUGACCUAUAGUAUAGCAGCAGAAGACCAUACUAGCUAAGAACAGGAAAGUGAAUCCUUAAUGUACACAGACUCACUAAAAUCUGACAACAGAAUAUUGAAAAAAUCUUGCCUGGUCUCAAGCUCUGCUGUGACAUUCAAAUGGUAGGAUCAGAAUAAACAGCAUGAAAGCAUAGAUCCGUCCUGUCUUGUAUCAUUGAUUCAGGCUUCUGGUGGGGUAAUAGUGUGGGGAAUAUUUUUGUGACAAACUCUGGUCUCCUUAUUAUUGAUUAAGCAUCAUUUAAUUACCACAAUAUACCUGAGUACUGUUGCUGACCCUGUCCAUCCUAUCAUAAUGACAGUGUAUUCAUCCUCCGAUGGCUCUUUCCAGCAGGAAAGUGUGUUCUCGAACAUGACAGUGAGUUCAGCAUACCCAUAUAGCCUCCACAGUCUGCAGAGCUUACCCAAUAGAGAAGAUUUACAGUCAUGCACAGUAACUCCCGUAAUCCAAAAGUCCAAAAAUAAAAAGAUAAAACUUUUAACCUUCAGGGGCUAUACAUAAUUUGUAAGUAAGACCUGAGAACAACAGACAAAAUGUGGUCUCAUUGUGUCUCCACAGUGUCUGGACAGAAACUGCCACUUUAAAUUCAACUAAUGCAGCUGCAUCAUUUUCAAACCUAAUGACAGACAAUGGCUACACUCAUACAAGAUACAAAAUAGCAUAACCCCAUCCAUGUGAAUGGGGCCCCAUUUACAAAAGAUCUAAAAUAAUACUGUCACGAACAAAAGAAAAAGAAAAAAAAAGGAUUUGACUCUACUUGCUUGAUCAUGUUUGAUGCACAAUAGAUUCACAAUAACAAGACCAUGCCUUGAAUUUUUAACGCAGAGCUGUUUAGUACUCAAUGCUGACUAAGACAUAAAGAGCUACAUACAAAUGAAAUGAAAUAAAACAAAAUAAAAUAAAAUUCUCUUUCAUAAAGUAGAGUGAGGUAGUACACACCAUCAGAAGCAAUAAGAAGAAGGUAUCAAGGAAACCAUCAGUGUCAAAAUGGAAGGAACCAUUCCUGAACAGAGAUGGGAGACUUCAUAACCACUUAACAACUUAGAUUGCUAUCCUCUCAUUAGGGCUGCCACAAACGAUUAUUUUGAGUCGACUAGUCACUGAUUAUUUUUGCGAUUAGUUGACUAAUCAGAUCAUGCAUCCAUUGGACGUAAAAUGUAGAGCUUAUUGCACGAGCAUGCAUCUGCUCUUAUAUAACU